AACGAACGCUGGCGGCAGGCCUAACACAUGCAAGUCGAGCGCCCCGCCAGGGGAGCGGCGGACGGGUGAGUAACGCGUGGGAAUAUGCCCUUUGCUACGGAAUAGCCUCGGGAAACUGGGGGUAAUACCGUAUACGCCCUUUGGGGGAAAGAUUUAUCGGCGAAGGAUUAGCCCGCGUUGGAUUAGGUAGUUGGUGGGGUAAUGGCCUACCAAGCCGACGAUCCAUAGCUGGUUUGAGAGGAUGAUCAGCCACACUGGGACUGAGACACGGCCCAGACUCCUACGGGAGGCAGCAGUGGGGAAUCUUAGACAAUGGGGGCAACCCUGAUCUAGCCAUGCCGCGUGAGUGAUGAAGGCCUUAGGGUUGUAAAGCUCUUUCAGCUGGGAAGAUAAUGACGGUACCAGCAGAAGAAGCCCCGGCUAACUCCGUG
rnacentral:rRNA from 1 species